UGUGUGUGUGUGUGCGUGUGUGCGUGUGUGUGUGUGUGUGUGUGUGUGUGUGUGUGGUGAGAGAGAGAGAUUAUUUUUAUGAACUUAUUUUUAGUUUUUUUGCUAUGUGUAUGUAUGUUUAUGUAAAUGUGUGCCACCUGUUUUCAGGUUACCAUGGAGACUACAUGGGUGUUGGAGCCCCCCAAAGCUGGAGUUACAGGAAGUUGUGAGCUGCUUGACUUGGGUGCUCAGAAAUCAAACUUGGGGCCUCUAAAAAGCAGCAAGUGCUCUUAACCACAGAGACAUCUUCUCAUCUCCUUUGAUAUUUUUGUAAUUGCAUUUGUACAAUUAUUAAGUAUGAACUAUGCAGUUAUCAAUGCCAAGAUACAGUGUCAAACUGUAGGCAUCUGAGAGUCUAGAGCGUCGGUCAUGUUUAUGAGUUUAUUGAAAGAGAAGAAACAAGAUUCAUUUUUUCUUUUGGAUCCAAGAUGUAUGUCAUCUACAAUGUUCUCUGCGCAUAUGAUCUCAGACCUUUCCAUUCUGAGUAUAUUUGUCAUAUUUGUGGCAUGGGAUUGGACUGGUAGGUAGAGAUAUAAUUUGUCGGCUGCUAAAGCAGUAAUGAUUUGCAAAGAGAAAAAACAAUGUUGGUUUGGAGGAGUGGAACUCAGAAACCCUCAGAAAUUCCUGUUCAGGAGAGCCAA
rnacentral:lncRNA from 1 species